ACAAGCUCUGUGCCAUCUGCUGUCCUUUGAGGAACCCCGGCUCCUGCAGUCACACUUGGCACCCUCGUAGCUGGUGGUCAAGUCAUCACCGGAAUUAGUCGACCCAGGUGCAUGCAGGCAGGGGCAGGUCCAGAGGCUGAGCUGGGAUGCUGGCUCCCAACUCAGGGUCCUUAGGACCCACGGACCCUGCCUCUGUGAAGGGUGCCUGGGUGAGCGGGAGGCCCCGGGCUCACCUUGAUGGGCCGCUCAAGCUCAGGCUUUCUGUGGCGCAGCCAGAUCAUGCCGAUGAUGGCCAGGGCCACGCAGAGCCAGUUGAAGAAGCUGAAGAAGUUGAUGACGGAGAAGAUGUCCUUGGAGAAGGCGUAGAGCAGCGUCAUCACACACUGGAAGAGAGAGGCGGCUGGCUGAGCCCUGGGGCCCACGAGCAGGGCUGUGGACGGCCGUGGUGGCCACCGGGGACUGUCCAGCCUGGCUGGGCCCAGCUGAGCACCAGGGAAUUUUGUUUUAAAGGAGAAACCUCAUCUGAGCAACAUGCAAGAACACUACAUUUUGGAGUGAUGUGUGACACAGCCAGAGGGAACAAAGGCAGUCACGCGGGCUGGCACGGAAAGAUGCAGGAGAAGCGGAAGGAAACUGUGUGUGAUGCACCCCGCUGAGAAACGAACAGAGUGGGCGCCCACGGAGGUGCAGUGAGCCAGGCGGCUGGCAGAGCAGCACCCCGGGUCAGCUUCUGCCUCCCGCAUUUCCGAUGGUCUGAAUCGUUUGUGGCAGCCACCAUAUAUUAUUUUUGGAAUAAAAUCUAAAGCCCCUCCA